rnacentral:antisense_RNA from 1 species
AUGAAACAUUCCUCCAUUUUUUUGUUUUUUUAACUUAUACAAGAACACCAAGGGUUACAUGACCAUUCCUUAUCUAAAAAUUGCCUUUGGUGUUCAAUUGCAAACAUUUUGCAAACCUUUCAAUUCAACAAUACCCCCGA